rnacentral:tRNA from 1 species
AGGAUUAUAGUUUAUUGAAAACAUUUGAUUUGCAUUCAAAAAAUAUUAUAAUAUAUAAUUUAUCUUA